rnacentral:rRNA from 1 species
AUUGAACGCUGGCGGCAGGCCUAACACAUGCAAGUCGAGCGGAUGAAGGGAGCUUGCUCCUGGAUUCAGCGGCGGACGGGUGAGUAAUGCCUAGGAAUCUGCCUGGUAGUGGGGGAUAACGUCCGGAAACGGGCGCUAAUACCGCAUACGUCCUGAGGGAGAAAGUGGGGGAUCUUCGGACCUCACGCUAUCAGAUGAGCCUAGGUCGGAUUAGCUAGUUGGUGGGGUAAAGGCCUACCAAGGCGACGAUCCGUAACUGGUCUGAGAGGAUGAUCAGUCACACUGGAACUGAGACACGGUCCAGACUCCUACGGGAGGCAGCAGUGGGGAAUAUUGGACAAUGGGCGAAAGCCUGAUCCAGCCAUGCCGCGUGUGUGAAGAAGGUCUUCGGAUUGUAAAGCACUUUAAGUUGGGAGGAAGGGCAGUAAGUUAAUACCUUGCUGUUUUGACGUUACCAACAGAAUAAGCACCGGCUAACUUCGUGCCAGCAGCCGCGGUAAUACGAAGGGUGCAAGCGUUAAUCGGAAUUACUGGGCGUAAAGCGCGCGUAGGUGGUUCAGCAAGUUGGAUGUGAAAUCCCCGGGCUCAACCUGGGAACUGCAUCCAAAACUACUGAGCUAGAGUACGGUAGAGGGUGGUGGAAUUUCCUGUGUAGCGGUGAAAUGCGUAGAUAUAGGAAGGAACACCAGUGGCGAAGGCGACCACCUGGACUGAUACUGACACUGAGGUGCGAAAGCGUGGGGAGCAAACAGGAUUAGAUACCCUGGUAGUCCACGCCGUAAACGAUGUCGACUAGCCGUUGGGAUCCUUGAGAUCUUAGUGGCGCAGCUAACGCGAUAAGUCGACCGCCUGGGGAGUACGGCCGCAAGGUA